GACGAACGCUGGCGGCGUGCCUAAUACAUGCAAGUCGAGCGAAGUUUUUCUGGUGCUUGCACCGGAAAAACUUAGCGGCGAACGGGUGAGUAACACGUAAAGAACCUGCCUUAUAGACUGGGACAACUAUUGGAAACGAUAGCUAAUACCGGAUAACAGCAUUAACUGCAUGGUUGAUGUUUGAAAGUUUGUUUUGCUAACACUAUGAGAUGGCUUUGCGGUGCAUUAGCUAGUUGGUGGGGUAAAGGCCUACCAAGGCGACGAUGCAUAGCCGACCUGAGAGGGUGAUCGGCCACACUGGGACUGAGACACGGCCCAGACUCCUACGGGAGGCAGCAGUAGGGAAUCUUCCGCAAUGGGCGAAAGCCUGACGGAGCAACGCCGCGUGAGUGAAGAAGGAUUUCGGUUCGUAAAGCUCUGUUGUUAGGGAAGAAUGAUUGUGUAGUAACUAUACACAGUAGAGACGGUACCUAACCAGAAAGCCACGGCUAACUACGUG
rnacentral:rRNA from 1 species